GGGUUGAAAACAGGUUAUGUAACUGACUCAGGGCCUCGUGAGACUCCUGCGGCUCCCGGGAGGCAGGAACCGAGGAUCUAAGAUAGCAAAGGAGAGGGACGGUGGUAUAGGGCGCCCCUCUCCGCCAGCAAUCACCAGCGUGAAUGAGUGCAAGGUCCUGCCCUGGCUCCUCCCAGGUGGCGCCCAGUUGGAGGCCCUGAUCCCCGCUCUCCGCUUGGCUGACUCCGGCUCCUUCUGCUCAUCCCAGUUCAGAGCUUCCCUCCCCUUAGCGGUCGAGAUGCGCCCUCAUCAGAAGCUCUCGGGACACCAGGACUGACACAUUGAGAGUUUCGAUUAUUUGCUUCCAUGGACCUACUUUUCACUGUUUGGGGGACAACUGCUCAAUAAUUUCAGAAGAUUAUUUUAGACUCCAAAGUGCAUGCAGGCAUUUGUCCGUUGUGUCUACAGUGAAGAUAACCAAAACUAGUUAAACCAUUUCAUGGAGGAGGCUCCUUUCUUAGAAUAAAAGCUGUUGUUCAUUAAACAACCAUUCUGGGUGAUGGAUGCUUUCAUGCAUUAUUUCUAAUCCUUAAAACAAUUUCAAGUGCAGGGUUUUAUUAUCCCCCCACCUUUUUUUUAGGGAUUAGACACCUGAGGCAUAAAGUGUUUAAUCACUUUCUGAGAUCACACAGCUGGUGUGUCGUAGGGCUGAAUCCCAGCCCCAAUCUGCCUGACCCAAAUCCUAUGCCCCUUCCACUGUGUCACACGUCUUCUCCCUGAAGUGCCUGAGUGACAGCAAAACUUACUAUUGAUGACUGAUGGCGGAGAUUGGGGGUUCAUGCAUAUAGUUAUCCACGGGUGACAUUUUUGUAAAGCACACCUGCAUUAGGUCUUUAAAAGUAUGAUAUAUAGCUAUACUUAAAAUGUUAUAGUUAUUAAAAAGGAGGUAGAUCUACAUAUGUUCAUACAAAAGAUAUUCAGAAUGUUAAGUAUGACUAUUCUGAUCUUAUUACAUUAAUGUGCGGUAGGAAGUAAAGAAUUAUAGGAGACUUCCAAUUUCUAUUUUUAAUAAUUCCAUUUUAAUUGAUUUUUACAUUUGUAUAUUAUGUGGGAAUCAAAGAAAAAUUAGGAAAACAAUGUGUCAGUAUCAUCAGUUCCUGGGGCACCUGGGGGGCUCAGUCACAUGAGUAUCCAACUCUUGAUUUCAGCUCAAGUCAUGAUCUCAGGGUCAUGGGAUCAAGCCCCACAUUGGGCUCCACACUCAGCACAGAGUCUCCUUGAGAGUCUCUCCCUCUGAGCCUCCCCUCACUUGCUCUCUCUCUCUCUCAAAGAAAUUAAAUAAAUCUUUUUUAAAAUUCAUCAUUUCCUCUUACCCUUCAAUUCCUGAAUGUCAUGCAUCUGUGAUGCAUAAAGAUCUGAGCCUCCUAUAUCUGUGGCAAUAAUACAAGAAACACACUGUCUCAUAUACAGACAUGGAGUAGGAGAGCACCUGUUAGUUAAUUUGAUGGUUAACUGACUUAUGAUGUCCUAAGGCAUCUUUGCAUCCUCUAUCCUCAGCAUGCCACUUGGCCCCCUAAACGUCAUUAACUGGCCACCAUAGCUCUAGGCAUUCCAAGCAGCUCUGAUAAUAUCCAGUGAAAAAAAAAGGCAACUAUUUCUUCCUAUGUCACUCUUUUUAGCAUCAAGAAGAACCUAUUCUAGAAACAUCCACAGCAGACUUCUCACAUCCUGUUAGUCAGAAUUGCAUUCCUCACCCCAGCUAAUCCAACAGUUAAUAAAUGGGAUGAGGUCAUCAAGCUCGAAAUGGACAAAUGAUUUGCCCUCUGCAACUGAAGAGGCCAGCCCACUUUCAAACACAUGACUUGUCUACUCCCUGAAUGAUACUGGAAUUCUACUAACAGGGAAAAAGAGGGGGAAAGGCUGAAGGUUACCAUGGUGUCACACUAUUCCCUAAAUUAAU
rnacentral:lncRNA from 1 species